UAGGAUGUUAGACUUUCUUAUUGUUCCGAUUCACAACACAGCGAUUUCCGAACACGGAGGUUCGGAAAAGCCGUGCACGCAACAUGGAGGUUGCGUAAGCGGCGGUUGCGUCACUUUUAGAAAUACUUCUCAGGAACAAUUAGAAAGACUUACAUCCGAAG
rnacentral:ncRNA from 1 species